CGAGCAAUGAAAGCGAGAGAGAAAAACAAACACAGAUAGAAAGAAAAGAAAUUUCACCGUACCAGAGAACAAGGAAGGAUAGAAGAAAGUGAAAGAAAAUGGCGUUGUACAUGGACGAAGAAGAGAUUUGGAAGUGUCCGAAGCAUCCAUCAAAGAGAAGAAGAAGUGGAAUUUGCCCUACUUGCCUUCGAGACCGUCUCGUAACUCUUUGCCCUGACUGUGCUAACGUGCGCCCCUGUUCCUGCUACGCAACCAGCUCCUCCUCCUCUUCCUCGUCUUCCUCCUCCUUAUCGCGUUUUUCUGGCGCCGGCGAUGGCGUCGGUUCCGUCGGCCGCGUCCACAACCUCAUCGAGCAAGAGCCUGGGCUCCGCCGCUCGCGCUCCAUGGCGAUUCCGUUUCUCAGGUCACGGUCGCGGUUCUCUGGCGGCGGAGAUAGGGUUUCGGAUCUCGACAGCACGAGGGACUCGCCGGCAAUGAACGGAAGCCGGUCGGCGAGGUCGUUCUGGUCAAUGUUCAAGUCGCAGAAGAGCAGUAGACACGGCGGCGGAGGAGGCGGCGCGCCGGAGCAAGAGUGGGAGGCGAAAAAGAUAUUGGCGGAGGAACGAGACGGCGAUGGUGGCAUAAAUCCGAUGAUGGUGCGGUCAAGGUCGGUGGCAGUGACGGCGGUAACGGUGGUUUCCGGCGACGGAGAAUUGAGACCGCGGACGAAAGGGAGAGGGUGGUUCUUCCCAAGUCCGAUGAAGGCUUUCCGGCAAUCCAAGGUCUCUAAAGUGAUUCAGGAAGGGUCUCCUUUGUAUAGAGUACGGUCUUGAUUAUGUUCUUCGAGAUCCUAAUGCGUUACAGUUCAGCCGAGAAUGUUGAAUUUGCAAUUUGCAAUACAAAUACAAUGACAGAAAGUGUAUUGCUGUUUAAUUUCUAGUCUAUAUUUCUUCUUCUAUUAUGUUGUGGUCUACCAUGUAUGCUAAUUCAAGCACAAGGGAGAAUGCCACAUCAAACCGUCUUUGUUAUUGUCGUAGAAGAGCUAUCAUUCGAACAACAAAGACGACAAGGAAUAAUGGGAGACUAUUUUAUGCUUGUCCAUUACCACAACAAGAUGUAGAUCGAUGUAAUUUCUUUUUGUGAGUUGAUGAAGACAUUGAUGUUGGUGCAACUAAAAUAGGUGGAAUAGAAUCAAUACCAGACUUUGGUCUAAGGUUGAGACUGGAGAUUCUGCAAAGGCACUAAUUGACAUGGAACACACAAAAGUACUGAUUGCGUCAAUAAACAAUGAAGGGUGAUGAAGAACGACAACCAUCACCACUGGGAGAGCGAUGAUCGACGUGGACCUAGUACAAGAACGUUAUCCUUCAACCAUAGGAGGAAGAAAAUGGUGAGCUGGAAUUCAUCACGUUUUCAAUUAGACUAAAAACUAUUAAGGAUCAAUUUGAUACUAUAUACAAAAAUUGACUCUUCAUUUUCCAAUAUAACAUUUAAAAUUAUGUCA